GGGGGCGAAUUGGAUUCGACCUGUUAGGUAGGUCCCAGGUGGCAUGCCGAGGGUGAUGCGCUGGCCUCGUAAAAAAGCGCAUCAAAAAAGAAGUGCCAACGCUGAAUUGGCCCUCGCGGCUUAACGUGACCGCGACGCUCACCAGGUGACGCCUGCUAGGCUGGCUGGGCGACGGCAGCAGGCUGGGGCUGCGACGCUGCUCGCACGUCAAGGCCCGAGAUACCACUGCGAGCUGGGUCAGUGGAUUCGCCGCCGGAGCGUUAUCCAGCUGGCCGACAAAAAUCUACUCCGGCUAAGCAUGUAGGCACCUGUGGCUGAUCUAGCAGGGACGUG
rnacentral:tmRNA from 1 species